rnacentral:rRNA from 1 species
UACAGAGGUCUCGAGCGUUGUUCGGAUUCAUUGGGCGUAAAGGGUACGUAGGUGGCGCUGUAAGUCGGGUGUGAAAUCCUGAGGCUUAACCUCGGAACUGCAUUCGAUACUGCGGCGCUUGAGGACUGGAGAGGAGACUGGAAUUCAUGGUGUAGCAGUGAAAUGCGUAGAGAUCAUGAGGAAGACCAGUGGCGAAGGCGGGUCUCUGGACAGUUCCUGACACUGAGGCACGAAGGCCAGGGGAGCAAACGGG